UAACUGCUGCCAGCUCACUGGGACCGCGGAUGUGGUUUCUUCAUUGUGGGUAGGACUACUUUCGGUGUAAGAUCGUUUUGUGGCUUCCUGUCGGUGUAGGUUGGUGGUUUUCAUUCGUUUUGUAGCUUUAGUAUUUGUGUUGUAGCGUUUAGGUUUUUGUUGAUCCCUCUCGGCCCCCCUUCGGACGUCGUCACCAAACUGGACCAAGCAGAGCUCAGGACCAGCAGAGGUCUUUAGUUUUUAUCUUUCUACAACAGAAGUCCAGUCACAUGAUCGUCCCAUCACUGCACUGGUUGUUCUCGUCCUCACUGCUGUCUACUGGAUUCAUUUUUUUACAAUAAGAAGGAAGGCAUGAAGUAAUGUCCAGAUCUCCAGGAACCAUCACCUUAUCAUGGGGGAGAGGUUUGUGUUGUCUGCAGCUUGGUGCUCCUGGUAUGGUCUCCCAUGGCAAAGUGGUCUCAGGUGAGGGUCCAGAUAAAGACUGGCUCAACGAGGAAGAGGUAGUUACCCUGCCCGGAGGAAGCCUGAGGCCACCGUCUGGAGCCAGGCCCAGAUGGAGGACUUGUCAGCGAGCGCCUGGUGGUCCGGUUUACCACGGACCCUGAUCAAGAUCUAAUGUAAUGCUUUAUUUUGGUGCUGAUGUUUUGCUUUUCAAU